AAAUUGAAGAGUUUGAUCAUGGCUCAGAUUGAACGCUGGCGGCAGGCCUAACACAUGCAAGUCGAGCGGUAGCACAGAGAGCUUGCUCUCGGGUGACGAGCGGCGGACGGGUGAGUAAUGUCUGGGAAACUGCCUGAUGGAGGGGGAUAACUACUGGAAACGGUAGCUAAUACCGCAUAACGUCGCAAGACCAAAGAGGGGGACCUUCGGGCCUCUUGCCAUCAGAUGUGCCCAGAUGGGAUUAGCUAGUAGGUGGGGUAAYGGCUCACCUAGGCGACGAUCCCUAGCUGGUCUGAGAGGAUGACCAGCCACACUGGAACUGAGACACGGUCCAGACUCCUACGGGAGGCAGCAGUGGGGAAUAUUGCACAAUGGGCGCAAGCCUGAUGCAGCCAUGCCGCGUGUAUGAAGAAGGCCUUCGGGUUGUAAAGUACUUUCAGCGGGGAGGAAGGYGWURAGGUUAAUAACCUYRKCRAUUGACGUUACCCGCAGAAGAAGCACCGGCUAACUCCGUGCCAGCAGCCGCGGUAAUACGGAGGGUGCAAGCGUUAAUC
rnacentral:rRNA from 1 species